rnacentral:rRNA from 1 species
UUGUGAAAUUACUCCAAUUAUUUAAAGUUUACCUUUUGCAUAAUGGUUUAAUUAAAUUUUAAGAGAUCCUACUUCUCGAAAUAAAAAGAUCUAAUAAAAUUAUAGUAAUAUGUUUUAAAAUAUUAUUUUUAAAUUUUAUUAGGUGUGAAAGGCUAGUCAAUUUUUAUGAUAUCUGGAUAAGAUAUAAAUGUAUUUAGUACAGGCAAAAGCUGAAGAACCCCCUGUUAAGGGAGGGUUCAUAAAGAAUAAUUUUUAUUUUUAUUAUUUAGGAUAAUUCUAUAAUAAUUACUAUAAACCAGAUUAUAAAUUAAUUUGUUUCUUUAAAGUUUUUCUAGAAAAUUGACAAUUACCUUAAUUUUCCAUAAUGUUAAAAUAAGUAUUAUUAAUAAUUAAAAUAUAGGAACUCGGCAAAUUAAUACUCAACUGUUUAUCAAAAACAUAGUUUUAUGAAAAUAUAUAAAAUGAAUUCUGCCCAAUGAAAUUUUAAUGGCCGCAGUACUUUAACUGUGCUAAGGUAGCAUAAUAAUUUGGCUUUUAAUUAAGGUCUGGUAUGAAAGGAUUUUAUGGGUAAUAGCUGUCUUUAUUUCACUUCUAAAAAUUUACUUAAAAGGUGAAAAUUCCUUUAACUUUAAAAUAGACGAGAAGACCCUAGGAGUUUUCGUUUUGUUGGGGCGACAUUUUAGUAAACUAACCUAAAGAAUAGUGAAACGGUUAUAUCAAUUAAAAAUAAACUACCCUAGGGAUAACAGCAUAAUUAUACUUUUGUUUGUGACCUCGAUGUUGGACUAGG